AGAGUUUGAUCAUGGCUCAGGAUGAACGCUGGCGGCGUGCCUAAUACAUGCAAGUCGAACGGGGUGUUUGAGCAAUCGAACACUUAGUGGCGAACGGGUGAGUAACGCGUUGGUGACCUGCCCCAAAGCGGGGGAUAACAGCCUGAAAGGGUUGCUAAUACCGCAUAUGGUCUAGAGGGCUUAGAAGCUUUAGAUUAAAGGAGAAAUCCACCUUGGGAGGGGCCUGCGUCCCAUCAGCUAGUUGGUAGGGCAAAAGCCUACCAAGGCGAUGACGGGUAGGGGACCUGAGAGGGUGACCCCCCACAAUGGAACUGAAACACGGUCCAUACACCUACGGGUGGCAGCAGUAGGGAAUAUUGCACCAUGGGCGCAAGCCUGAUGCAGCAACGCCGCGUGAGUGAUGAAGGCCCUCGGGUCGUAAAACUCUUUUCAAGAGGAAGAGGAAGGACGGUACUCUUGGAAUAAGCCUCGGCUAACUACGUGCCAGCAGCCGCGGUAACACGUAGGAGGCGAGCGUUAUUCGGAUUUACUGGGCGUAAAGCGCGUGUAGGCGGCUUUAUAAGUUGGAUGUGAAAGCUCCCGGCUUAACUGGGAGAGGACGUUCAAAACUAUAGAGCUUGAGUACGAGAGAGGAAAAUGGAAUUCCGGGUGUAGUGGUGAAAUGCGUAGAUAUCCGGAGGAACACCAGUGGCGAAGGCGAUUUUCUGGCUCGAGACUGACGCUCAGACGCGAAAGCUAGGGUAGCAAACGGGAUUAGAGACCCCGGUAGUCCUAGCUGUAAACGAUGUAGACUAGGCGUUGGUGGAGUAAAAUCCAUCAGUGCCGCAGCAAACGCGAUAAGUCUACCGCCUGGGGACUACGGCCGCAAGGUUAAAACUCAAAUGAAUUGACGG
rnacentral:rRNA from 1 species